CACCUGCUUCACCUCCACUGCUUCCUCCUGCGCUUUCUUCCAAAAAGUGGGCUGAAGGGUCUUAGGAAUUGGCUUCAGACGUACCAGACAGCACCCGGGAGUUCUCUUGAAUGACCAUCAGAAAAAAUCACAAAACAAAACCAAAAGAUAUCCAAGCCUAGUGAAGAUGGGGGAUGUAACCCACGCGCCUGGAGCGUCUGCUGUGAUAGGAAGGUCACCUUGGCCGGCGCACACGCUGAUACCGAGGGAGUAGCCCUUAGUUGCAGACCCAUACUAGUAACAAGUCCAGCAUCCUGCAUGCUGUGGAAGCUCCGCUGGACUCCACGCUGUCAGGAGGAGGAAUGGGCUCACAUCCUCGCACUGUCAUUGGUGAGUCACUUAGCCUCCUGGUGUUUCCAUUUUCUCACCUGUGAAGUGGAGCAGAAAUACCCAUUUCACAGGUUGACACGAGUUUACUAAGAUAACCUAAGGGAAAAUGCACGGAGCCACUCUUGAGAAAUAUUUUCCAAGCUUUCUCCUCCACUUCCUGCACUGCAAGCAUUUAUACUAAAAGCGACCAGGAGAAAAGACUGAUAUAGUGCAGAGCAGGAGGACCCACGGGAGUGAUCUUAGUCAACUGAUGGAGGAGGCGUGCAGUGAAAGUGGCACACUCAGAGCGAUUCCCAAGGGACACCUUGCUACAACGAACACCCUGCUUCCAGCAACGACCUGGGAUGGACACACACGGGGCAGCUUGGAAAACUGAGGCCACAGACCGGUGCCUGAUAAAACGGUGAAGCAGACGACCAGAGGAAGGCUGGGGCAGAUCCGAUCCUCGCAGUUCUUGGCAGAGAGCUUGGCCGACACUCCGCAGAAAGGCAGGGUGGAGGGGUGGUGGGCUUUCGUCCUGCAAAUGCAUGCCAUGUCAGUCUGAGAACGGAGCCUGCUAUCAUACAUGCCUUUAACCCAGGAGCCUGUUUCGCACAUGCGUGGGAAGACUUGGGGGACGUAGGCCAGCGGGGCUACAGCCGGAGGUCAGGGAGCAGGGACUGAAGACCUCAGCAGAUUCUCCAAGCCUCACUAGGGCCAUUCUGGAGGCGCUCCCACCAGCUGGUUCUGUCUUCCACAGCGCUGUGGCUCCAGGAAGCUCGAGAAUAACACUGAGUCUGUGUGGCUUCCACCCUGCUGCAGGAAGGAUGGCUCUCCUCACUCCCGUGCUGCUCCUGCUCCCCCAGCCCCUGGAGCGGCCGCUCACCUGCUAAGUGCACUUGGACUCACUGCAGCAUUGCGGUGAAACCACCAGCCACGCGGUGGGGUAGGUUUAUGAGUAUGCUCUGUUGAGAUUUAGAAGGGCUACAUCACACAGCGAGGCAGGGCUAAUAGUCAAUCCAGGUCGCGCUGACCUCCAGGGUUAUACAUUUGUCCUGCUUUGCUGUGUGUGUUUGGGCUAAAGCCAACCCCUAGCAAGUAGUGUUAUUAAUUCUAUGGUGACAUUUUUCUCUUUGCUAAAAUUUCUGUUGUCCUUAUAAACUCUCUUGUGAGAAAGGAUUUCCACAGAACAGGGAGAGAAAGCUCUGGAACUGGGGUGACUCAACCCACAUUGUGACCAGUUCUCUAGUAACUUAACUGUCUUAUGUGUAUGUGUAUCAUAUUAAUUCCCUGGACGUCCAAGAUUAUGUCCUGUAGUUUUCUGUAGCACAUUGGAUUUUUAUAAAUAGUCACUGGAUUCCCUUCUUUGUCAUACUUCAUAUAAUUUGUGUAUUCAAGCUACAAACCAAUUUCCAUCUAAAUACAUGUAGAAUGCUCUGGUGAAGCCGGCCCAUGCGGGCAGGCCUUUGGCCUGGAAGUUGAUGUGCUGGUUGACAUCCACUCCCAGGAGUGCCUGUGUGCCAGUCCUCGCUCCACUCCCGAUUCCAGCUCCCUGCUAGGUGCACCCUCAGAGGCAGCAGGGGAUGGCUUGAGUACUUGGUUCCCCGACACCCACAUGGAAGACCUGGAUUGAAUUCUUGCUCCCUGGCUUUGGUCUUCCUCAGUCCUGGCUGCUGUGGGUGUUUUGGGGGAGUGAGCCAUCUGAUGGGAGCUCUGUGACUGUCUGUCUGUCUCUGCCUCUCUCUCUGCUUCUCAAGUAUUAAAUAUCUUACAGAGGUUGUGAAGUACUAAGAUUUUAAGUUACUGAUUUCGUUCUAUUGUAUUUUCAAGUACUCAUGAUUUAAUUAUAUAUACUUGACAAAUAAAUGUAGAUUUUUGUUCA
ensembl:lncRNA